rnacentral:rRNA from 1 species
GACCAGACUCCUACGGGAGGCAGCAGUGGGGAAUAUUGCACAAUGGGGGAAACCCUGAUGCAGCGACGCCGCGUGAGCGAUGAAGUAUUUCGGUAUGUAAAGCUCUAUCAGCAGGGAAGAAAAUGACGGUACCUGACUAAGAAGCCCCGGCUAACUACGUGCCAGCAGCCGCGGUAAUACGUAGGGGGCAAGCGUUAUCCGGAUUUACUGGGUGUAAAGGGAGCGUAGACGGCGGUGCAAGCCAGAUGUGAAAGCCCGGGGCUCAACCCCGGGACUGCAUUUGGAACUGUGCUGCUAGAGUGUCGGAGAGGCAGGCGGAAUUCCUAGUGUAGCGGUGAAAUGCGUAGAUAUUAGGAGGAACACCAGUGGCGAAGGCGGCUUGCUGGACUGAAACUGACGCUGAGGCUCGAAAGCGUGGGGAGCAAACAGGAUUAGAUACCCCAGUAA